rnacentral:rRNA from 1 species
CCUACGGGAGGCAGCAGUGGGGAAUAUUGCGCAAUGGGCGAAAGCCUGACGCAGCGACGCCGCGUGAGGGAUGAAGGUCUUCGGAUCGUAAACCUCUUUCAGCAGGGAAGAACGGUCACUGUGCUAAUCAUCAGUGAAUUGACGGUACCUGCAAAGGAAGCACCGGCUAACUCCGUGCCAGCAGCCGCGGUAAUACGGAGGGUGCGAGCGUUGAUCGGAGUUACUGGGCGUAAAGCGCACGUAGGCGGUAUGUCAAGUCAAGGGUGAAAUCCUCGAGCUCAACGUGGGAACGGCCUUUGAUACUGGAAAACUGGAGUGUGAGAGAGGAGAGUGGAAUUCCAGGUGUAGGAGUGAAAUGCGUAGAUAUCUGGAGGAACAUCAGUGGCGAAGGCGACUAUCUGGCACAUAACUGACGCUGAGGAGCGAAAGCGUGGGUAGCAAACAGGAUUAGAUACCCCAGUAGUC